UGUGCUCCUUAGAGGAUUUCAAACCCUUAGCCAUCAACGUCCUCCAGACAGAAGAUUUCUCUACCUUUGCCUAGGACUUGCCUGGACUUGUUCCUCAGCAAACUUUGAGUCAAUCAUAUAAAAGAAAAAUCUCUUACAGCAGGUAAUAGGUAUUUCAGACUCUUUCCAUUCCAGAGAACAACAAAUGUCACGUUUGACUGACUGUUUUAGAAGCUAUGCAAAAACCUAAAUAAACCUGUCAAGAGAAGGAUCCACUUGCUCAGAAGUUAAAGUUUAUGGGCAAGAAUAAAAACCUGAAUGCAUCCUUUCAAGAAGCCCUUACUCAUUGUAUCCAAGUCAUUAUUUUCACCAGGCAGAAAAUACCAGCACCAUAUCCAAAAUCAGAAGCAUAACUGAAGCUGUGACACUACUAUGCUUGCUGUCUCUGUGGCAGUCAGUUCAUGCAGACCUAAUAAGCUUCCAGCUCUUAUUGGUAAGCACGAUGACAUCUGAUGUGGGACAUCCCUUCAGCCUGUUUAGGUCAGAUGUACUGGCUGCUUCCCCGCACAGAUUCUGGUGCACUCCCAGCCUCCUUGGAGUAGGGGGCUGCAUGAGAAGCAGAGAAGACCUUGAUUUUGUGUAAGCACUGCUCUGCAACAGCUACAGCAUCGGUGUACUAUCAACAGUGUUUUGAUCACAAAUCUAAAACAUAUCUUGCUAAUAAGAAAUUGACGCCAUCCCAGCCAAAACUAGUACAACACGCCAUCAGUAGAAUAUCAAGAAGUUUAUUUAGAUUUCCAAUUUAUAGUCCCAUUGGCUAAAGUACUGAGUGAUACAGAUGUUAUUUGGAUUUAUCUCCUACUUUAGAAAGCCAUAUGCUACAAGAAUUUCAUACUGUGAACUACUUUUUAAGAUGUCGUAAGAAGAUACAUUAUGGUUCAUUAAAGCAUUCUCACUAAAGU
ensembl:lncRNA